AUUGAACGCUGGCGGCAGGCCUAACACAUGCAAGUCGAGCGGAUGAAGGGAGCUUGCUCCUGGAUUCAGCGGCGGACGGGUGAGUAAUGCCUAGGAAUCUGCCUGGUAGUGGGGGAUAACGGCCGGAGACGGGCGCUAAUACCGCAUACGUCCUGAGGGAGAAAGGGGGGGAUCUUCGGACCUCACGCUAUCAGAUGAGCCUAGGUCGGAUUAGCUAGGUGGUGGGGUAAAGGCCUACCAAGGCGACGAUCCGUAACUGGUCUGAGAGGAUGAUCAGUCACACUGGAACUGAGACACGGUCCAGACUCCUACGGGAGGCAGCAGUGGGGAAUAUUGGACAAUGGGCGCAAGCCUGAUCCAGCAAUGCCGCGUGUGUGAAGAAGGUCUUCGGAUUGUAAAGCACUUUAAGUUGGGAGGAAGGGCAGUAAGUUAAUACCUUGCUGUUUUGACGUUACCAACAGAAUAAGCACCGGCUAACUUCGUG
rnacentral:rRNA from 1 species